UUACUGCCCCACUUAAAUUAAUCCUCUUCAUUGAUCCCAUGAUAAUUGCUGUCUUUCCAUAAAUUUCACGAUUUUGAAAACCGUUGCCCCUUAUUUUAACAAAUUUCUAAUUUCCUCCCCCAAAGUUUACCCUAAUCCCAAAUACUACGUACUAAAAUAAACGAUUUCGAUUCGACUGAAUUUUUCUCUCUUUAGAUUCUAGCAUCCAUUGAAGUCCCCAAUAUUUCUUUGCGAACCCUAAUUAUUGUUUGAUCACAUGGAGAGGCUAAUAGGAAACAAGUACAAGCUGGGUCGCAAAAUUGGAAGCGGAUCGUUCGGUGAAAUUUUUCUAGCUAGCCAUAUUAAUAGUGGUGAAAUUGUUGCUGUUAAAAUUGAGAAUAGCAAAACAAAGCAUCCACAAUUGAUGUAUGAAGCUAAAUUAUAUAGUAUUCUACAAGGAGCAAGUGGUGUUGCAAGCAUAAGAUGGUGUGGUGUAGAUAGGGAUGAUAAUGUGUUAGUUCUUGAUUUGCUAGGUCCGAGUCUCGAAGAUUUGUUUGUUUAUUGUGGAAGGAAAUUAUCACUUAAAACAGUCCUGAUGUUGGCUGAUCAGAUGAUUUCAAGAAUAGAAUAUACGCACUCUAAAGGAUUUUUACAUAGAGACAUUAAACCAGAUAACUUUCUCAUGGGUCUUGGAAAGAAAGCCAAUCAGGUGUACAUCAUUGAUUUUGGACUAGCAAAACGAUACAGGGAUUCAACAACAAAUCGCCACAUUUCUUACAAAGAGAACAAAAGCUUGACGGGGACUGCACGCUAUGCAAGUUGUAAUACUCACCUUGGAAUUGAGCAAAGCCGUCGGGAUGAUUUAGAGUCUCUGGGCUAUGUUCUUUUGUACUUUUUGAGAGGAAGCCUUCCAUGGCAAGGGCUGAAAGCAGCAACGAAGAAGCAGAAAUAUGAUAAAAUAUGUGAAAAGAAGGUGUCAACUCCAAUAGAGGUCUUAUGCAAAUCACAUCCUGUGGAGUUUGCGUCCUACUUCCAUUAUUGCCACUCCUUAACAUUUGAUCAGCGACCUGAUUAUGGUUUCUUGAAGCGCCUAUUCCGCGACUUGUUUUCUCGGGAAGGAUAUGAAUUUGAUUAUGUUUUUGACUGGACAAUUCUGAAGUACCAGCAGAAGUCACAAGCUCAAGCAUCGACCUUGCUGCCAGGUUCUAAAGUAACAAGCAGUCGAGCUGUGGCUAUGAAGCUGGAUAAGCGUAAAGGGGUCAAUGGUAAUUCUUCUUCAGCUGAAGUUACAGAACGUAGAAUAUCUAGUGGUAAUGCUGUUUCUCCUAAUAUUCAUGUACAGCCACGAUCGCCUCAGAAAAUAGGCACUGAUACUGCAAUCGACAAACAUAUUGUUUCAAAUACACCAACACCAUCUACUUCGUUUGCUAGACCCAGCUCCUUUAAAAGAUAUGUUAAGAAAGUGGAAGCUUCAACUGACACUACAAAUAUUGGUCGUGGAAUUGGGAGCAGAACUGGCGUCAGUAGCUUGCUGAGAAUCUCUUCAUUUAAGUAAUCGAUUUUUAGGGACAAAAUUCAGAUAUUAUGCUAUUAUGAAGCUUGGAAGGUCUGAUCUCUUGAUGCAUGAACCUUGGAAUGUAUUAUUCACUAGAUUAUCAGUGCUUAUGCUUUGAUAUGAAAUGGGUUUGGUUUGGGAGUUUAAAGAGUCGCUGGAUGUGUUAAAGAGGAAUGGCCACUCUGGAACUCUAUUCUUUGCUGAGGCUGAAAAUAUGGACUGUACAGUCACUCAAGUUUAUCUUUUGUCUUGCCGAGGGGGCUGAUUGGAGUGUGUAAUACGACUAGUCUGUUUAAUAUGAACAUCUAGAAUUUGAAUGAAGAAAAUAUAAGGGUUUUUUUUAAAAGAUACUUAUCUUUGUAAAAAUACGCUUUGAUUUUUUUUAUUCUUUUUGCAAACUUUUUAUUUUAUUUUAUAAAGGUACGUUUUGGUAGAUUAGUA